rnacentral:tRNA from 1 species
GGAUAUGGCUCAGGGGUAGAGUGCUUGCUUAGCAAGGGUGAGGUCCUGGGUUCAAUCCCCAGUACCA